GAUGAACGCUGGCGGCGUGCUUAACACAUGCAAGUCGAGCAAGAAGUUUUGAAAAGAUUCUUCGGAUGAAAUUUAAAAUGGAAAGCGGCGGACGGGUGAGUAACGCGUAGGCAACCUGCCCCAUACAAAGGGAUAGCAUUUGGAAACGAAUAUUAAUACCUUAUGAAACUUAACUAGUGCAUGCUAGGUAGGUCAAAGAUUUAUCGGUAUGGGAUGGGCCUGCGUCUGAUUAGCUAGUUGGUGAGGUAACGGCUCACCAAGGCGACGAUCAGUAGCCGACCUGAGAGGGUGAACGGCCACAUUGGAACUGAGACACGGUCCAAACUCCUACGGGAGGCAGCAGUGGGGAAUAUUGCACAAUGGGGGAAACCCUGAUGCAGCAACGCCGCGUGAACGAUGAAGGCCUUUGGGUCGUAAAGUUCUGUUUCUAGGUGAUGAAAACUGACAGUAACCUAGGAGAAAGCCCCGUAACUCCCA
rnacentral:rRNA from 1 species